UCCGGUUUGAAGCGGGCGCACCAUCGAGCAAGUUGUUAUACAGUAGAGAUUCAAUGUGAAAGUCGUCGUAAACACAUUUGCGGUGGUUGUGAACACUUUGUUUUUUUUUCAAAUUAGUGACAAGUUACAAACAAAAAAUAUUUACUGAAUGAGGCAGAAUGUCUACUUUUUUAAAGUCUGAAGAACGCAAGAGUUGCUGGGAAGCAAAGGAUAACUACUUUACCUGUUUGUCUAACAACAACGAAGAUCAAUCAAAAUGUCAAGAACUGAAAAAGCUGUUUGAAUGUAAAUGUCCCAAUACAUGGGUCAAACAUUUUGAAAGAAAAUAUGAAUAUGAGAAAUAUAAAGCAAGGCUUUUAACUGAAGGGGCACGAAAAAAAAAUAGCUGAUAUACAAGGUGUGAAUAAGUCGAGUAUGUGGUGCCGUUCUACACAUGAUUAGUUGCAUAUGUCAAGAACUAUCAAAAAAACUGUGAAGGCAAACAAGGUUAAUACUGAACUUUGCUUUUAUUUGAAAAAAAGUCAGAUGCAUUUUUGUAAGAAAAACAGACUAUGAAAUUGUACUAUGUUUAAAAAUUAUAAAAAAAUGGUAUUUACAUUGAAAAAUGUUUCAUAGCACCAAGUAUCAGCCAAAAUAUUCUGUAUAGAACUGGAAUAAAGUCAAUGGAAUUGUUUUUUUUUAUAUUUU